AUUGAACGCUGGCGGCAUGCCUUACACAUGCAAGUCGAACGGCAGCACGGGAGCAAUCCUGGUGGCGAGUGGCGAACGGGUGAGUAAUAUAUCGGAACGUGCCCAGUCGUGGGGGAUAACGUAGCGAAAGCUACGCUAAUACCGCAUACGAUCUAUGGAUGAAAGCGGGGGAUCGCAAGACCUCGCGCGAUUGGAGCGGCCGAUAUCAGAUUAGGUAGUUGGUGGGGUAAAGGGUCACCAAGCCGACGAUCUGUAGCUGGCCUGAGAGGACGACCAGCCAAACUGGGACUGAGACACGGCCCAGACUCCUGCGGGAGGCAGCAGUGGGGAAUUUUGGACAAUGGGCGCAAGCCUGAUCCAGCAAUGCCGCGUGCAGGAUGACGGCCUUCGGGUUGUAAACUGCUUUUGUACGGAGCGAAAAGGCUCUCUCUAAUACAGGGGGCUCAUGACGGUACCGUAAGAAUAAGCACCGGCUAACUACGUGCCAGCCGCCGCCGUAA
rnacentral:rRNA from 1 species